GUCCCCAUAGUUCAACUGGAUAGAAUAGAGGUUUCCUAAACCUUUGAUACAGGUUCGAUUCCUGUUGGGGAUACCA
rnacentral:tRNA from 1 species